GUGCAGCAGGCGCGAAACCUCCGCAAUGCGGGAAACCGUGACGGGGUCACCCCGAGUGCCACCCGCUGAGGGUGGCUUUUCCCCGGUCUAAAGAGCCGGGGGAAUAAGCGGGGGGCAAGACUGGUGUCAGCCGCCGCGGUAAUACCAGCCCCGCGAGUGGUCGGGACGUUUAUUGGGCCUAAAGCGUCCGUAGCCGGCCCGGUAAUUCCCUCCUUAAAGCCCACGGCUCAACCGUGGGAACGGAGGGAUAAUGCCGGGCUAGGGGGCGGGAGAGGCCGGGGGUACUCCCGGGGUAGGGGCGAAAUCCUGUAAUCCCGGGAGGACCGCCAGUGGCGAAGGCGCCCGGCUGGAACGCGCCCGACGGUGAGGGACGAAAGCUGGGGGAGCAAAGGGGAUUAGAUACCCGCGUAGU
rnacentral:rRNA from 1 species